rnacentral:rRNA from 1 species
UACAGAGGUCUCAAGCGUUGUUCGGAUUCAUUGGGCGUAAAGGGUGCGUAGGUGGCGCUGUAAGUCGGGUGUGAAAUUUCGGAGCUUAACUCCGAAACUGCAUUCGAUACUGCGGUGCUUGAGGACUGGAGAGGAGACUGGAAUUCAUGGUGUAGCAGUGAAAUGCGUAGAGAUCAUGAGGAAGACCAGUGGCGAAGGCGGGUCUCUGGACAGUUCCUGACGCUGAGGCACGAAGGCCAGGGGAGCAAACAGG